AUACGGAGGGUCCAAGCGUUAUCCGGAAUCAUUGGGUUUAAAGGGUGCGCAGGCGGAUAUUUAAGUCAGUGGUGAAAUCCCGGGGCUCAACCUCGGAACUGCCAUUGAUACUGAAUAUCUGGAAUACGGUUGAAGUGGGCGGAAUGUAGCAUGUAGCGGUGAAAUGCAUAGAGAUGCUACAGAACACCGAUCGCGAAGGCAGCUCACUAAGCCGAUAUUGACGCUCAGGCACGAAAGCGUGGGGAGCGAACAGGAUUAGAUACCCCAGUAGUCC
rnacentral:rRNA from 1 species